CAUUCAAGGGCGGGGGAGGCAAGAGAAGGUCAUAAACAGAGAAGUGUUAAAGGGUGUGGGCUGUUCUGGGAAUGGUGAUGUAAACUCAGUGCCAUCGGGUCCUGGGACUUGGAGGGUGGUGACUGGAUGCUAGAGGGGUUGUGGGUCAUUCUGAGAAGCCUGACUUGGAGCAUGGGCUGAAGAGACUACAUAAAUUUUUACAAUAUAUGUAGUGUGUGUGUGUGCGUGCGUGUGCGUGUGCGUGUGUCAGAGAGAGAGAUGGUGGGGGGCGGUUUGCAGACAACCUCAACUGUAGACGAGGGCGGGUCAUACACUGGAGAGGUCGAUACUUAAAGCCGGGAGAUCAUUUACGAAGCGAUUGCAAGGCAGCAGGUGCAAGACAAGAUCUAGUCGGAGCCGGUGAUGGCCCCGUGGCAGGAGGCAGCCGGAUGUGAGGGCCACCGGCACAACUGAGUGAGUGUUAAAUGCGGGGAGUAAGAGGAAAUUGGCAACCGAGGAUACUUUUAAGAUUUUUAUUUAGGGAAAGUGAGUGGAAAGCGAGAGCUGGAGAAUACAAGGAGGAGAAGCAGUUUGAGGGACGGAAGGAUGACAUGAGGACCAGCCCCACAUCCCACCCCCAGUCACUCAGGAGUCCACUGGAAACGCUGAGACUUAGACUCCGCCCCGGAACUUCGGAACCGGAAGCUGCUGUUAACAAGAUGCCCAGGUCAUUUCGGUGCACGUUACAGUUUCUGUGGCUUUGGUACCGUGAGUUCUCAGGGCUGAAUCUGGGGACAAUCCUAAAUUAGACCCCUAGGGCCACAAGGAGAGAGACUGCUGAUGUUCUGAGUGACAGUUGAGUUCCCAGACACAAGGGAGACAUAUUUCUGGGAGUGAGCAAGUGUCCUUUGUAUAAGUGGCUGCCUCCCGCCCAAGGCUGUGGGUGAAUCAGAGCAUGUGAUUUAGUGGAUGAAGGACAUAUAUUUAGAAAGAAAAUGAUUGCCAAAAGAAAGGCGGGUAGGAAGAAAUAAUAUUACUCAUAUCUGUUUUUCAUUAUAAAAUAAUAUUGCUGUUUUGCAUGCUUUCUAGAUUCCUUAGGGUAUUUUCUUGCCACUUGGAGCUUUUUUUUUUUCUUUUUUCUUUUUUCUUUUCACAUAUUUAGAAGCUAUUUAAUAGAAACGUUACUGCAUGGGAUCAAAAAUAUUUUUCUCACAGAAUGUUCCCAUUCAAUAAGUUGCCACAUACUUGUGUUCCAUAUGGUGCUUCAUAAACUAACAGUGUCUGUAGGUAAUGCAGUUGGCAUAGCAGCAGAGGGGAGAGUUAUGUUUCAAGCAGCUAUAUCAAUCCAUGUCCAAGGAUUUUUUUUGUUUUGUUUUAAACAAAAGAUAACUGAUGCUUAAUUAAAACAAAACAUAACAAAAUAUGUACUGUUAAAGAGUAGUUCAAGCUAAAUUUCUUAAAAAAAAAAAAAGCCGAAAAAGUAAAUUCAUUUAUUUAUUUCAUUCAUUCAUCAAGCAUUUACUGAUAUUUUACUGGAGAUACAGAGAUGAAUGAAAAAAUUGUCCAUGGCAUGAAGAAAUGUCCCCUCUAGUGGAAGAAGUAGGAAGAAGACCCCACAGGGUGAUGAGAGCUUUCAGAGACUAGGUGUGGGUUCCCUGGGACCAUAUGUAGGGGUUCUUAGGGAACCUGAUAGGUGGAGUAGGAUCUGAGGGAGGUCUUCCCAGAAAAUGUGACCCCUAAGUAGAAACCUUUAAAAAGCAAGCCAGAAAGCUACUCCUUCAUCUCCAGGUCUCUGCUCUGUAUCAGAGAAGUCCUCAUUGACCAUCUGUAUUAAGAGCAGUUAACAGUCAUCCCAAACCCCAGCCUUUCCUAUCCUUUUACUUGGCUUCAUUUGCUCCACUGCAUUUAUUACCAUCUGUGGUAGCCAGCCUCCAAGACAACCCCCGAAAUCUCUGCAUCUGUGAUAUUCUUGUCAUUGUGUACUUUAUCAGGGUCGGGGCAAUAGAAUAUCACAGAAUCAGUGGGAGAUCACUUCCAAGAUUAGAGUAUUAAAGAUACUGUGGCUUCCAUCUUACUCACUCUCUCUUUCUCUUGGAUCACUCACUCCAGGAAAGCUACCUCCCAAGUUGUAAGCACCUCGUGGAGAGUUCCACAUGGUGACAAACAUGGUGAGAAGGUAUGGAAGCAGAUCUCCCCCAAGUCAGGCAAAUCUUCAGAUGAGACCACGACCCUCCUGACAACUUGACUGCAGCCUCAAGACAGACCAUAAGCCAGAACUGUGCAACUACUCUGCUCCCAGAUUUCUGACUCUCAGAAACUUGCGGAGGAAGUUAAUCAGGAAAGUUUUCGCCAUGUUCUACUAUUUGGAAACAAUCAGUGACUCUCCAGCACCCACAGGAAAAAAUUCAUGUCUGUAACUAUCAGAUAUGCAGAGGAAAACCCUUUCCCUGAAGAUAUUUGCAGUCAAGGAAACAAACUCAUGACAUAGUGAUUCAAUUUACUUGUUAUUGGAGGAAAGACAGAAGAUUAAUUCUAUAAAUCUGAAAGUGUCUGGAUUUUUUUUUUUUUCUUUUCAAAAUUUGACUUAAAAUGUGAGACUUCAGCUGUGGAAGUUGUGUUGCCUCUCCCACAGUACAAUGGGCCAUUGUUCGAAGAGAUAAGUCCACCUUCAGGGUGACAGUCUCAGAAAAGCUUAUGAGCAAACAAUCCUUCUGUUUUGCUUAUGUUUUUCCAUCUAUUACAAUUGGAACCACAUGGAAUGCUGAUUAUUCAAUUUUCAGAAUCAUGCUUAUUAUAUUUUCCAUCUCAUUCCAGAAUUCAUUGAAUCUGAGACCCAACCGUAAUACACAGAAGCAAUUGCUCUUGUUUUCUCCCAUUAAUGCAAGCAUUUGUUAUUCCCCCGUUCCAGUUCCUAAAAUAACAUUUUCAUUAAUAGGAUCUUUAAAUCUGAAUCCAGAAUGACUGACGGUCUCUGAAAGCAAUAUAGAGAGAUAGCCAUUCACUCUGACAGGACUAAGAGAAGAAAAGUUUACAAUAAAGAGAAGCUUCUGACCUACCAGCGCAAAACAACUGGGUCAAAUGGGCUACAAGGAUUGUUUAAUACCAAGCCCUUUCCCAAAGAAGAUAUGGAGCCACAGCCUCCCUAGGUCUUAAAAUCUUGAUUAAAGGGCCUGCGGGAUUCAUCAUGCACAGAAGGUCUUAGUAAUGAGGGUCUGCUGUAAUCUGGAAAGAUCCCCCCACACCAUCCUCAUCUUUGCACCCAUGCCCUCUUUCAGAAUAAAGAGGUCAAAGAGCGACAACUCAAGUAAGACAAAACAAACAACAAAAAUUUCACAUAUUAAAGAAGAAGAACAAAUUUGUCUUAUAUACUCUGGAUUUGAUGGACAUUUAGCAUAACUGACAUGUUUUUCAUGUAAUAUAAGGCAAAAUUAAUUUUUUGACUGAUGGCAUAAAAGUGUUAUGAAAUAAAGGUUAAGAAUAUGUUCUUGACCGUUGAGCAAAUCUGGUUUUGAAACAGGUCCUGUCCCUAAUUAGCUUGGUGAUCUUGGGCAUGUCCCAUCAACACACUGGCCCACUAGCCUUGAAGUCCUCAUGUCUGUUGUGGGGAUAGAGGUCCUAGCAAGGGAGCUGCUUGGUGCUAAGAGCCCCUAUGACCCAAGACUCUGUGAUGCUUGUGUCACUGGGAUUGCACAGUGUCCACACUAGCUCAGGUCUAGAAGUUACUUGUCAGCCACAGCCAUUAAAGGUGGUGGUGAAGACAGGUGUUAAAAU